AUUUAAAGAGAAUACAAAAAAUAGCGUGAAUUAAAUCAAAACAAAUUCUCUUCCUAUUGACUUGGUCACCAAGUCAAAUUUAAUUAGAGAUUUUAUAAAGAUUAACCUCCUCCGUGAAAAGAUAUUCAUCCUCCGUAAUCUACAAAUAAAAUACCAAAUAAAUACAAUUAAAUCAAAAAUAAAAAAAAUAUAGAAACCAAGAAAACCUCCCUCCUCAAUACACGAAAAAAACGUUCCCCUCAACCCCAAAAUCUCUCCAUAUCUUUAAACCACCCCUCCAUGUAUUUUAAAUCCCCUAACUCAGUUAUUUCCUACUCUGCUCGUUCGCUGCAACAAAGAAAACCAAGCUAUUCUUCUCAAUCAAAUUCAAGAACCGAGAACUAAAGCAAGGGGUGUCCCGGCUUCGUUCAGUUACAAUCUGCAAAUUGAAGGGCCGCAACCCUACUUGGACUAGUGUACACCUAUGGUAGAUCGUGUGCUAGCGU